rnacentral:tRNA from 1 species
GCAGGCAUGGCGGAAAUUGGUAGACGCGCCAGGUUUAGGCCCUGGUAAGUUAAUCUUGUGAGAGUUCAAAUCUCUCUGCCUGUA